CAGACGGGUGAGUAAUGCGUAGGAAUCUACCUAGUAGUACGGAAUAGCCAUUAGAAAUGGUGGGUAAUACUGUAUAAUCCCCGAGGGGGAAAGAUUUAUCGCUAUUAGAUGAGCCUACGUUAGAUUAGCUAGUUGGUGAGGUAAUGGCUUACCAAGGCUAUGAUCUAUAGCUGGUCUGAGAGGACGAUCAGCCACACUGGAACUGAGAUACGGUCCAGACUCCUACGGGAGGCAGCAGUGGGGAAUAUUGGACAAUGGGCGAAAGCCUGAUCCAGCUAUGCCGC
rnacentral:rRNA from 1 species